GGUCAUGUAAGUGGUGCGUGAAAGCGCCCGGCUCAACCGGGCGAGCCCGUGCCAAACUGCGUGACUGGAGGCAGGUAGAGGCUCGUGGAAUUCCGGGUGUAGAGGUGAAAUGCGUAGAUAUCCGGAGGAACACCAGUGGCGAAGGCGGCGCGCUGGGCCUGACCUGACGCUAAGACGCGAAAGCAUGGGGAGCGAACGGGAUUAGAAACCCCGGUAGUCCAUGCUGUAAACGCUGCAGACUAGGUGUUGCGUGCGACGAGUAUGCAGUGCCGAAGCCAACGUGAUAAGUCUGCCACCUGGGGACUACGGCCGCAAGGUUAAAACUCAAAGUAAUUGACGGGGGCCUGCACAAGCGGUGGAGCAUGUGGUUUAAUUCGAUGCAACGCGAAGAACCUUACCUGCCCUUGACAUCCUCGGAACCCUGCAGAGAUGCGGGGGUGCCUUCGGGAACCGAGUGACAGGUGCUGCCUGGCUGUCGUCAGCUCGUGUCGUGAGAUGUUGGGUUAAGUCCCGCAACGAGCGCAACCCUUGUCCCUAGUUGCCAGCGGUUCGGCCGGGAACUCUAGGGAGACUGCCGGUGAUAAACCGGAGGAAGGUGGGGAUGACGUCAAGUCCAUCAUGGCCCUUACGGGCAGGGCUACACACGUGCUACAAUGGCUGGUACCAGUAAGUGGCGAAGCCGCGAGGUGGAGCUACCCUAAGAAGCCAGUCUUAGUCCGGAUUGGAGUCUGCAACUCGACUCCAUGAAGUCGGAAUCGCUAGUAAUCG
rnacentral:rRNA from 1 species